rnacentral:rRNA from 1 species
UACGAAGGGGGCUAGCGUUGUUCGGAAUUACUGGGCGUAAAGCGUGCGCAGGCGGCCAUCCAAGUCAGUGGUGAAAGCCCGGAGCUCAACUCCGGAAUUGCCAUUGAAACUGUUUGGCUCGAGUACGAGAGAGGUGAGUGGAAUUCCCAGUGUAGAGGUGAAAUUCGUAGAUAUUGGGAAGAACACCGGUGGCGAAGACGGCUCACUGGCUCGUAACUGACGCUCAUGCACGACAGCGUGGGGAUCAAACAGG